AGGUAGUGAUACACAUGCAGCUGCCAUGUCUCUCCUGCCACCCCUGGCUCAUCAAACCUGAUCCAAUUAGUAAGGAAUCUGAGUCUUGACAGUUUUGUGUCAGGAAAUGAAAGAACUGGUCAAGAAGCAAUAGCAGUGUGUGAUGAGAAAUACCGGUGAAUUUCCCACAUCUUGCUUUUGUAUGUAGAACGCAAUAACAGUUCUACAAAAAAUACUGCCAGUGGACAACUUUUAAUGUGUGGACCAUGGGAGACUCUUAACCUCCAUAGUUCCAAACUCUUUACCUCCAUGGCUAGAUCAAGGGAGUGCAACUGACGAAACAACAAAACCAAUGGCUAGUGCUCAUAUAAGGUCUAUUUGUUUA